CCCAAGGCAGGGCCAGCAUGGCCGUGUAACUUCUUUUGCCUGCUUGUUCUUGGGCUGCUUCUUCUGGGAACCCAGCUACACUAAGAGCCCUGUGUGGGAGGGCACUCUGGUUGAUGGUUCCAGCUGAGUCCACACUUGAAACCUUUCAGCUCAGAACCAACAUGGGAAUGAAGAAGCCUCAAGAUGAUCCCAGCCCCCAAACUAUUUGAGUGUCUAGUUAAGACUCCAGACGUUGCGGAGCAGAGAAAAGCCAUCCUUUGGCCUGUGUCUUUUUAUGCAGCAAGAGAUUGUGGGAACAUAGGACUCUGCAAAGAGCACAACAAAAAGACUUGUCAAAAAGACUGUCAAGACAGGGGAAAUGACUUGACCUUACCAGGAGUGGUCCAGGUAUAAUAGGGCACUUAGCUGAAGGAGCUAUGCAAAAAAGGAUUAGAGGGUUCAAGUGGAGAAAGGAACCCACAUAGUGGUGACCUGUUGCUGCCUGCAAGCCUGCCCCCAUCUGGCAUUCUGGGACUCAUGUGUGACCUUUGGAGUGCCCAAGUGGACUCUGAUUACAUCUCUCAGUCACACAGAGGGUUACAGGCCUAGGCUCCCAGCAGAAUGGAUGCCAUGGCCAUUCCCACCCACUGUAACUGUCCAGGAUGCAAGCUUGUCGGAGCUGGGCUGGGAGUACCACAGAGAUGAUGGAAUGAAUGGAGUCUCCCACGGCCCAUGAGGUGAAAGUGCUCUCUCAGGACUUUGGAGGAAGAUGACAAGUGGCAGUGAUGGGUGUGGAACACACAGCAUGUGGUCCUGAGUAGAUGCUCAGAAUCAGCCACAUGACCUCAUUGAAUUCAAUAGAAAAGGCAGAAUGGCCCUUCCCAGGAAGAGUGGAGAACUGAAAUAUUUCUGAACAUUUUUGUGGACUACCAUAGGAGGCAUGAAGUACUGGGGACUAGUUGGAACAAUCACCUUUCUUUUCUCAACAUCUGGGAACUGAGGGAAGAUCCAAGAAGAAUUGAGAAUAAUUGAUAGAAUAGGCUGAACAUUUCAUCAGACUUUGCCUUGGCUAAAAGUUUGGAUAUAUGCUCAGAGGCACUCAGAUUCAACAAAAAUUCAAUUUGAAAAAAUA